AAAAGUGCAUGCUUAUUUGCCACAAAAUCUGAUAUUGAUGAGCUAGAUUUCAGCAAAUUUGUUUGCUAUGCUUUUGUGUGCAGAGAGGUAUUAUUUUCAUUCGAGGACGUGCCUUCCUCUUUGCCUCCUGCUAUCACUAACAUUUUGCAGCAGUUCGCUGACGUCUUUCCACAAAACGUGCCACCGGGAUUACCGCGUAUUCGAGGCAUUGAGCAUCAGAUUGACUUAAUUCCUGGUGCUUCACUGCCAAACCGUGCGCCAUACCGUACCAAUCCAGAGGAGACGAAUGAGAUUAUGCGUCAAGUACAAGAGCUUCUCGACAAAGGUUAUAUACGCGAA
rnacentral:rRNA from 1 species